rnacentral:rRNA from 1 species
GUAGCUUAUAAGCGGUCGAAGACCUAUAACUUCUUAGGAAGUCAUGGUUGACGGCGUGCCUUUUGCAUGAUGAGCCAGGGAGUUAAGA